ACGAACGCUGGCGGCGUGCUUAACACAUGCAAGUCGAACGGAAAGGCCCUGCUUUUGUGGGGUGCUCGAGUGGCGAACGGGUGAGUAACACGUGAGUAACCUGCCCUUGACUUUGGGAUAACUUCAGGAAACUGGGGCUAAUACCGGAUAGGAGCUCCUGCUGCAUGGUGGGGGUUGGAAAGUUUCGGCGGUUGGGGAUGGACUCGCGGCUUAUCAGCUUGUUGGUGGGGUAGUGUCUUACCAAGGCUUUGACGGGUAGCCGGCCUGAGAGGGUGACCGGCCACAUUGGGACUGAGAUACGGCCCAGACUCCUACGGGAGGCAGCAGUGGGGAAUAUUGCACAAUGGGCGGAAGCCUGAUGCAGCAACGCCGCGUGCGGGAUGACGGCCUUCGGGUUGUAAACCGCUUUCGCCUGUGACGAAGCGUGAGUGACGGUAAUGGGUAAAGAAGCACCGGCUAACUACGUG
rnacentral:rRNA from 1 species